CAGCCGCCACGGUAAUACGAAGGGUGCAAGCGUUAAUCGGAAUUACUGGGCGUAAAGCGUGCGUAGGGGGUUUGUUAAGUCUGCUGUGAAAUCCCCGGGCUCAACCUGGGAAUGGCAGUGGAUACUGGCAAGCUAGAGUGUGUCAGAGGAUGGUGGAAUUCCCGGUGUAGCGGUGAAAUGCGUAGAGAUCGGGAGGAACAUCAGUGGCGAAGGCGGCCAUCUGGGACAACACUGACGCUGAGGCACGAAAGCGUGGGGAGCAAACAGGAUUAGAUACCCCUGUAGUCCCUGUCUCUUAUAC
rnacentral:rRNA from 1 species